UUUAUUGGAGAGUUUGAUCCUGGCUCAGGAUGAACGCUGGCGGCGUGCCUAAUACAUGCAAGUCGAGCGAAUGGAUUAAGAGCUUGCUCUUAUGAAGUUAGCGGCGGACGGGUGAGUAACACGUGGGUAACCUGCCCAUAAGACUGGGAUAACUCCGGGAAACCGGGGCUAAUACCGGAUAACAUUUUGAACUGCAUGGUUCGAAAUUGAAAGGCGGCUUCGGCUGUCACU
rnacentral:rRNA from 1 species